rnacentral:rRNA from 1 species
AUUGAACGCUGGCGGCAUGCCUUACACAUGCAAGUCGAACGGUAACGCGGGGCAACCUGGCGACGAGUGGCGAACGGGUGAGUAAAGCAUCGGAACGUGCCCAGUAGUGGGGGAUAGCCCGGCGAAAGCCGGAUUAAUACCGCAUACGACCUAUGGGUGAAAGCGGGGGACUCGCAAGAGCCUCGCGCUAUUGGAGCGGC